UUAGCCCAAAAAGGCAAUUUAAUCGGCCCAAAUGAUGAAUUAAACUGGCCCAACGAAAUAUAAAUGGGACUAGAAUAAUAGCCCAUCAUAAAAUAUGCAUCAGCCCAACUCCUUAAUUAAAUCGAGCCCAAUAGAAAUAAUGAGAAGGGCCAAUUAAAUAAAAGACUGGCCCAACAAAGGAAAUAAUACCAAGCCCAAACUUAAAACAAUUCGAGCCCAAAGCAAUUAAAAUAAAAGCCCAAUCCUUUAGAAUAAAAUAAAAACCCAAGAUCAAAAUUCGGCCCAAAUAAAAAAAAAAUAGAGGCCCAAUUCUAAUUUAAAAGUGAAGCCCAAGUUUUAAAAUAAUCAAAGUCCAUCCUCUCUCUCUCUACUCAAAUUCUUGGUCCUUCAUUUUUCUCUCUCAAACUCGCCGCUGCCCUCUCCUAUCUCUCUCGACUCUCGGCCUGCCUCCAGUCGAGGUGUCGGCCGCCGCGGCUCCGGCGACUGGUCGCGCCUCCACAGCUCUGGAACUUCCGGCGCCGCUUUCUUUUCCUCCACACAUGUCAGACGCAGCAUGUCCAAUCGAGAACAGGAAUCGAGCCCUAGUUUCUCUCGAUUCAGGCGGAAAUCGUUGCGCCGCUGGGCUUCGUUUGCCGCUGCUCUGGCCGUCCCAACCGCCGGCGAGCAAUUGUUGAUCGCGCCGCCUCCUUUCCCUUCAUCGCAGAGCCCUAAUCGUCAAACCCAGGUCGCUGCUGCGGCCGCAUCCUCGUCCGAAAUCCGACGGG
rnacentral:lncRNA from 1 species